rfam:Erythranthe guttata cultivar DTN x IM62 scaffold_32_contig_29, whole genome shotgun sequence.
AUACCUUUCUCGGCCUUUUGGCUAAGAUCAAGUGUAGUAUCUGUUCUUAUCAGUUUAAUAUCUGAUAUGUGGGCCAUUGGCCCACACGAUAUUAAAUUAAUUUUUUCAGGGGGAGGGUCCACCAAGAUAGCUUGCUAUCUGGGCCUUCGAGCGUCGCCCUAGCGUUGCACUACUGCUUGGGCCUGGCGCAUCCCAC